GGUACUGUAGCUCAGCUGGUUAGAGCGCACGCCUGAUAAGCGUGAGGUCGGUGGUUCGAGUCCACUCAGUACCACCA
rnacentral:tRNA from 1 species